CCAGGAGAGUCGGAUUUCAAAUUCCUCCACAAACACAGGCAUGGCAUCUUAUAGUUGACUCUGGUUAUACCAAGGGGAGCUUUCAACCCACAAAUUUUCGAAAAAAAGAGGGUAUUCACCAUCAAACCCACUUUGACCACUGGGCAACAACUCAAGCUAUCAAGGUUGCUUCUAACCAGGGGACGAGUGCUGGGGCCUGGGUCUGUGGCCUGCAACCAGUGCCCGACCACCGCCGCCGCCACACUCCACGCUCAUCACGUCACUGCACACACAAGUACAUCACCCUCAUCAGUUUGAGGCUUGCAGUACCAGUACAAGUAGUAGAUGGAAAAAGAGCCAUCCUACAGGAAAGAUAAUGAUAAUUUGGUUGUAGACGUGAAAUACACAAAGCGCCAAGUUCUACCGGCUGUCAAACUAGAGCGGAAGAACAUUACCAUGACUAAACCCCCUGACACGGUUCCCUGCAUAGUGACCGUAACCGAAGAUGAAACUGUCGAAACUACCGGUCCAGCAACAACGACAACAACAACAACAGAAACUACUACUACAUCAACUGUGGGUGGAAGCACAAGUCCACUGGGAGAGGAAGAAGAAACAACAGAAACAACAGAAACAACAGAAACAUCAGAACAGGGUGUGCCCGAAACCAACGGACAUACGGAGGAAUUACAAGAAACAGAAAAGCCUGGCAGUAGGCUUACAGUGCAGUUUGCGGAGCUGCCACCAAAGAGAACAAGUGAAAACGUUAUGGAAUUUUUGGAAGAACAAGAAAAAUCACUUACAGAGCAGUUUAAGGCCUUGCCGACAAAAGCACGGAAGACGAGGUCCCCCAGCCCCAGCACCCUGCGGCAGAGUGUUGGACUGGAUCAUCUGGACAAUCUGGUCCGGCUCAUGGAACAGCUUGCACAGCUUCGGGACGAGAACACACAUCUCAAGAAGAAGUGUGCCUACCUGGAGAGCACCAAGCACCUGCUCCAAGCCAAGACAUCACUCGGAGAUGAAGCCUUACCCAUUGGGUAUAGCUCAUUACCUUCAAAGGCUAAGCCGAAAUUGAGGAAAUCUAAUACUGAUCCCGAGUCAAAAGAUUCAGGUGGAGGCCACAGAUCCAGGCCCCGCCUGCCCAGUGCUGAGGAUGCCGCUAGUAUGGACUAUGGAGAAUCAUCAUCUGAUCAGAGUCCUAAGAGACCCAAACCUGGGACACUGAAAAAGCGGAGUUUUUCAACAGGGUCUUUAGAUGUUUCAUCAGAGAUCAUGGAUGAAACAAGAGAUGAACAUGGUCAUCGAAAAGGAGGCUUGACCAAAUCAAAAAGUGGCAAAGAAGGCACAAGAGGAUUUUUUGGGCACAAAUCUCAAAAGUCAAAAUCCUCAAAGAGUUCCAAAUGGGCAAGAGUUAAGAAAGUUUUAACAGGGCAAAAACUAUAUGAAGAUUUAGGUUUUAGCUUUAAAUUUGGAAAAGGAACUCAUGUGAGAUAUCACUCUGUGGGCUCGCCACAAGAACUCAGUCCCCCGAGCCAUCGGGUCAUGGAUGGCAGAUCCUUGGACUCAGGGGUGAGUAGCAGUCUGGAUGUGGAUGGACAUCCGCGGACAUCCACAUCCUCUGCUGAACCCCCGAGUCCAAGCAAAUCUCCCAAUCAGACCGAAGAUCGGGAACUUGAUCUUACAACCGAUAUCUGGAUGGGUCCACAAGAUUGGAUCGACCAACAUGAAAGUCGCAAAGAAAGUGGAGCAUCUCAGAUGAGUGAGGAAGUAAACACCAUUAUAGAACUUAAGAGUGUGAAAGAAGGGGAGCAAUUUCUGAAAGUCAUCCCACUUCCACGGCGUCAGUCAAGUCCGACUCUUGGUGAGAGUCAGGAUGAGGACAUGGACGCUACGGAUGCAGGGCGACUACGUCGCUCCUCGAGCUACAAAGGUACAGAAUCAGACUCCACACUCAAGGAUGAUGAUGCUUCCACAACUAAAUCUAGUGAUAGAGACUCUAAGAAGUUACAUAAAACACCCUGGGGAAGGGUGAAAGAUAUGAUUCAUACUAGGAAAGAUAGUUUAAAGAAAAAGAAAAAAGGCGACUUAGAUGUGAGCGAGUGUUCCGAAGCAGACGCGGAAGCACUUGAUGAACAUUUACGUAGUGACCAGUUCGGAGAGGGUGUGAUGAGUCGGUCAACCCCACGUACGUCCCCCAUAGCGAUUCGGCAACGUGGCUCCAAGAGCUGUAGUGAGUCCCCACCUACCCUCGGCGUGGGGAAGACGUCGCCCACCAGACCCUCUCUGCCCUCAGGAAGUCCAGGAGACAUGGCAGCGUUGCUUGCAACGGGUGUUUCCGACGAGUACAUUAAGAAACUUCAGGAGUGGGAGACGUUGAAGACGAGGAAGUCAUUGUCAUCACAGAAAGCUGUUAUGGAGGAGAGCAACGUCACAAGUCCAGACAGUUCCUUUCUAUCCCAGGAUUCCACGGCCACGGACCGAAGCAAAGCUAGAGGUUCGUCCCCACAUCGACCACACAGUAGAGAUAGUUCUGGGGAGGAAUCAGUUGAUGACAUCACCCCAGCCGACGUCAGUCCGUCUGUUAAUGUGGACGACCUCCAGCGAAGAAUCACUGAAAGUUUCAGUCGCAAACUUCAGGAGUGGGAGCGAAUUAAAUAUCGCCGAGAAACGAAAGAAGGAAGUCCUGAGAUAGAGAGGAAGGGUAGUAAGAGUCGGAAAGACGAACGUCAGAAAAGUAAAAAGUCCCGAGAAGAAAAGGAAAAGGAGAAGAUGGAGAAACAACGUGAGCGAGACUUGCAGAAGGUGGAACGCGAGCAGGUCAAGCUGGAGAAGGAGAAGAUGAGGCUUGAGAAGGAAAGGCUCCGAGCGUUAGAGCGGGAGGCCAAGUUGGAGAAGAUGAAGGGAAGGCUAAGUCAGUCGGAUGAGUCAUCUUUCCGGAACCCCAUCAUCAGCCCCAUGGCAGAGUACAAGGUCACUGCAGACUUCGCUCGGAAGCUUCAUGAAUGGGAGGUGAUGAAAGGGUUGUCACAUGACAUCUCCACCGCCAUCUACCUGGAGGCUCAGAAGCGAAGCUUACAGCAAUCACGAGAGGCUCAGGAAACAGCAACGGUUAAAUCCGAGCCCCAGACCUCACCAACAGGUGGAGCCACUGGUGGAGCCGGUCAAGGCGCCAGACCCAAGUCCAGCAAACCUCCACCAUUGACUCUACAGCCUUACUGGGACUCCCCUGAAGAGACCUCACCUAUAGAAAAGUCCUCGGAGACCAGCGUCGGGGACGACACCAGCAUCACGGAGGAGGGCACCACCAUCAUGAAGUCCAACAUUGCCAGUGUCGAUUCAUUUGACAGUCUGGAGCGAGCAAAUCUCCAACUCCUUGAGGAGCUUCAGAGGAAGGAACUAGAGUAUGCAGCAAUUCAGGAGGAAGUUCUUGACCUCAACGAGAAGCUUUCUCUGGUCCGAGACGAACAUUCGACCGAGAUGGGUACUGGAGCCCUUCAUAUAUUCUCCCGCUACAGAAAGCAGCUGUCUUCAGGAGGAGGCACGCCCCAGGCUGUCAAGUUGGAGGUCGGGGCACUGGAGGCCACUGUGGCUGACCUCGAGCAGAAGAUCAAACAGCUGGAUGGUGUGGGCGAGAAGUUGGCCGAAUCGAUGGAAACUGCUGCUGUUGGGAAAUGGCAGAGUAUAGAGGGUGAGGAACUGGUCAGCAUCCAGCUGAUGGAGUUGGUGGAGCAGAUGAGGGUCAUGCUGUUACAGGCGUCGCAGUCACGCGAGGCCUCUCAGAAGUCAUCUGCUCUACACAACUUUGAGAAGCUGUACAGCCAGGCCAUGCAGCUGCAAGUCCAGAUGAACAACCUCCGCCUGAGUCACCUCCAGCGGAACAAGGAGAUCAUGGACAUCAAGCGGCAGCUGCUGCUACAGGAAGUCAACAACCUGCUGCUCCAGGCUGACAUCACACGCCGCGAGUCCGAGCUCUACCAGUACCAGGAGUCUCGCCAUCCUGCCACCGUCAAACGAUGGAACACAUUCGGAGGCGCGGACCGCGGGGUUAGAGUGGUGGAGGGCCGCGAGGCAGAUCGGCCACCACUGCAGCGAUUUAUGAGUUUGAAGGAGUCGGAAGUGACUUCCAGUGAUGACAGCUCUCAGCCGCCUGAGAAACGUGACUCCAUUCCAUCAAAAACAGCUUUGGAAACGAGGAAGCAAGAAAAAGUAAGAGAGCCUAUUGAGCGACAGCCGGCUGAUGGUGUUGUGUCAGUGUCGUCUGCUGAUCGGGACAGAAUUCAUUCCAAAUCUGUUUUAGAACAGGAUGAACAAACCACUGACAAUGUUGAAAAACACUUGCAAACCACGAAAGGAAGUGAUAAAACGCCUCUAGAACGCAAAGCUUCUAUACAUGAUGAUAACCUUGAAGUAGUAUGCACUCUUAGUUUGCCUACUGCACUUGUUUCUCUGCCCAAGGAUAUAUCAAAGACUGAGUUAAAUGUCCCUAAAGUGGAGAAGGGGUCUCCCACUUUGGAGACGUGUGUUGCUAAGCAACCAGUGAGUAGAACCUCUGAGGGCGCUGCUUCCAGCCAGUCGCAACAAGUAACAGAGACCCCUGAUGAACCCAUUCCAGAGCGGCUUCGAGGUCUGGACAAACCCAGACUCGUCAAGUCUGCCAAGAUCAUUGAUGAUGAAUAUUCCCCGACUGAAACUGUGAUGAAGUGUACAGAAAUGCCUACAUCAGUAGAAUCGUAUAAAGUUGAGAGUGGUCCUGUGCACAAGACUACUCAAGAUGUAGAUAUUACAGUCCACGGGAAACCUGCUCAGAGUCCAAAGAUUAAGUCCCAGCACCCAGCGAGAGCUCGGGAUGCACCACACAGGGAAACUGAGGACAGCGGGAGCACCUCCCCAAAGUCAGAGUCCGGCGCUACUGCGGCAAAACCACCACUGCCACCAUUCACACAAAGCACACCAGUGAGCACACAUUCCCCACGACCUCGUGCGUAUUUAGAUCCUGAGGUCCGAUCACAUAGUGCAGGCGAAAUCUCCCAUCAGAGUGGAGGCGAUGAUAAACCAUUGUCAGACAUGAUCAAGAAGUUUGAGAAACGUGCCACUGUCUGCGAGACAGCGCAGCACACUUUCGAGUUACGGAAAACCCCAAGUCCGACGCUGUACCUGCCGCAGGUGGGUUUGGUGUCACCGGUGCGUCGCCUCAAGCCGGCCGCGGAGCUCCUAAAGGAGAGUCAGCGGUACCGGAGUGGCCACACCGUGUACUCUGCCCGCCUGCGCCAACGCUACCUCAAAGAAGAGGAAGGCCGACAGCAACAACAAGAAAGGGCAAAGAGCCAUGACAAAGAAAACAUCUCCGCAAGCUAUGUACAAACCAUGGUACAAAGACUAUCAAGAGAGGGCACACCCACAAAAAGUGUGGAUUCUUCCAAAAAUAAUUCCUCAUUAUCAUUACAAAGAAGUGAUUCUCCGCGCACUCAAUCCGAGUUUGUUUCGCAUAUUGUACGCAAACUUUCCUCUCCCAGUGGACCAGAGCAUAAGUUCAUUGUCCCCCUGAAAGAUGUGACUAAUGAUGGACAGGUUAAGAAACUAGCAGAAGUGUUUGACACUUCGCCUAGUCCGAAGUCUUCCCCUGAAAGGACUUUCUCCGAUUCAGAAGUCAGAGAAUACCGGAAAAGAGAGAAAAGCCGAGUGCCUCCCUCACAACGCAGGUCUUGUGAGCUGGGGGCACUCCAUGACCCAAGUUCUGUGAUAUCUAGUGACAGCUCCUUGAAACCAGAUUCAACUAUAAGUCCCACAAACCAUCAAUCCAUGCCAUUGUUGUUCGGGACAGAGAGACAGGCCUCGCUGGAGUGCGCUCAGAGGGACCGGAGCGCCACCUAUAGUGCCAGCGAGCAAACACAAAGUAAGACAGGGAAAAAACCGGAACAUGACGACGAAAUAACUGUUGUCUCUCAAGAAACAUUAUCAUCGUCUUCAUCUCAACAAGCCUCCGCAAGCCUCUCACCCACUCAUGGGGAACAACCUGCAUUCCCAAAGUCACCGAGAUCAGGACACAAAGUCGAUUUCAGUAAACUGCCUUCGCCAAAGUUACACAAACGUUCAGAAGGAGGCAAGAAAAAGAAAAUGGGGACCAUUGGUGUGCUUUGUCAACAAUCAAUGUCAUUUGACCUAGGUGUGACACUUCAUGCAGUAGAACCUGAAUCACAAACAAAAGGUGUGGUUUUCCGCAAAUCAAAGCGUUCGGACUCUACUUCUCCGCCCGCUUCCCAGCGGUUUUCUUCCACCAGUUCGGAAGGGGAGGGGGCACCUGCCUCGCCAACUGAUGACAAGAAACGGUCUCGGAGGCUUCUGGAUUCCAGUUGGCUCCAUAAGCCAAAGAAAUUCUUCAAAGUUUCGAAGUGCACAUGCUGUAACCUUCAGUGUACAUGCCGUCACCAGUAGCUUGCUGUUAUUUCCUCAAUGUCCUGAUUUUCUCUGAUCAGAUGAUACCCAUGGCUGGUUAGGCCGAUAAUGUUCAGUCCGUAGAUGCUGAUUGGUCAGACUACAGACAUGGCAGCACAUGCUGGUGUCGGGGCAGGCUCAGACGUCAGAUGUCGCCCUGAUGGAGCGGACAGAAAAUGCUAUGCAUUAUGGGAAGACCAGGUGUGAUGAGGAGCCCGCCAUGUUGUGCUGGCCGGGCGCUGGCAGCCAUGUUGGAUAUCACCGACUCAGGACGAAGAAGACAACACGGUCCCGCGUCUUGACCUUGACCUUUCCGCAAUUUCCCUAGCAGCUGGCUUCAGUCAGACAUUAUUUCGCUUAUUCAUUUCGUCGUCAGAUCAUAUCUUGUCAUCAUCAUAUUCACGGACGUCAUCAUCAUCAGAAACAUCCUCAUCACCAUUACUGUUGUCAGUGUAGACGUGAUCAUCGUUCCCAGCUAGAGCUCGUGUACAGCAAUAGUAAAACAUGUCAGCGCGGACUGACUCUCUUCAUACAUGGUGCUGAACUUAUUUGUAAAUGUUUGUCUUCAGUUUGUAAAUAUUGUUUGUAAAGAGGAGAUGUGCAGUGCAGCACCCGGGUGUCGCACGGAACUUCAGUGUACAGAAAGUGUACAAAAUUCUUCUAAGAUAUACUACAUCAAUUUCACUGUGUAGAUACAACCUUCAGUUGGUCUGUGUAAAAUGCAAGUGUACAGUUCAUCAAAGAAGCUGUUGAAAAUACUCAAGUUGUGUUCAUAUUUCAAUGCAAAAGCUAAGCUGGUUAUGUAUAUUAUGAACAUGUGAUAUGAAGAAAGUGGAACCUCCAGAUCUCUGGGGGACGUCAUGACCAGUAUUACCCCUUCCAGAACAAUCCUGACAGCAAUCGGCUGUUACAAAUCUAGAUUAUCGUUCUUCUGUGAUGAGCUGAUAUGGCACAUCUUUCUCCACUUCUAUUUAUUCCAUACUCUUUCAGGUACUGUUGGGGCUUUGUUCUAUCCCAGCAGCAGCAAGUUGGCCAGAUGCUGUCUUUGGACAAAUUAUCGCUGAAUUCAUACAGAAAAGCGUUGUGUUAUUUAAGGCAACUGACAACACCUUUAUACAAGCUGAAGCUAAAUCUCCACAUCUUUCAGUGCCCCUGUUUACAUAUAGAUAAGACUUUAAUAAACACGCUAUAUCUAUUUGUAGUAAGACAAGCAGAGCACAGCAUCCAAGUGAAGGCACGCAUACUUGCAAGCACUCAAGCAGACCUAAGCAUCUAUGUAACUUAAGAACUUAAGUAGAUAUGCUAAGCAUUAUGUAAUUUAAGCACUUUUAAACAAAGCUAAGCAUCAUUGUGAUUCCAGUAUGUAUGUACCAUAGAUAAGCGUCCGAGUUCAGAUAUGAGCAGCAUCUGGCCAAGCUGUCUUACUGUAUGAUCUCUCUUCUAUUCCCUAGUGCCAAACAUUGAGGUGUGGCACUGACCGCGUUCUCAGCCACCAGGACUGUCCACAGCUCUACCCUAGGUACCUUGGUACCAUGCUACCUGGAUGUAACGUUGUGGACUGUCCACAGCUCUACUCUAGGUACCUUGGUACCAUGCUACCUGGAUGUAAUGUUGUGGACUGUCCACAGCUCUACCCUAGGUACCUUGGUACCAUGCUACCUGGAUGUAACGGUGUGGACUGUCCACAGCUCUACCCUUGGUACCAUGCUACCUGGAUGUAACGUUGUGGACUGUCCACAGCCCUACCCUAGGUACCUUGGUACCAUUCUACCUGGAUGUAACAUUGUGGACUAUCAACAGCCCUACCCUAGGUACCUUGGUACCAUGCUACCUGGAUGUAACGUUGUGGACUGUCCUGGGGUGUGUGAGCAAGCUGGCGGGCAGCAACUUGGUGCAGCUCUCUUGGCUGAUGCACAUCUCUGAUCAAGAGUAAAUGUAUCAAAGUC